UGAAGCUGGAGACUUGAAGGAAGAAGAAAAAGGAAUCAGGUGAAGGAGUUGUCGUCUAAGAGAAGAAAAGCUUUGAAUGGUUAAUUUGUGCACCAACCCGAACCUAUAUACGGUUUUCUUUAGAGAGUUUAAGGCUUUCCAAACCAAAACCUAAAGGCUGAAAAUUUCAUGUUGGAUUUGAUGCCUUGGGCUAAUGAAGUGUUAGAACUAUGCCUUGGAUGAAUUAAGCUGCCCACGAGAAAAGAGAUUGCUGAAAAUCUGCCCAACCUGAGGCAUAAAAAGAAUUGAGUGUUGAUUGAGCUGAAUAACAAAAGAUUAAAGAGGUCAGAAUGUGG